rnacentral:rRNA from 1 species
GAUGAACGCUGGCGGCGUGCCUAAUACAUGCAAGUCGAGCGAACGGACGAGAAGCUUGCUUCUCUGAUGUUAGCGGCGGACGGGUGAGUAACACGUGGAUAACCGACCUAUAAGACUGGGAUAACUUCGGGAAAACGUAGCUAAUACCAGAUAAUAUAUUGAACCGCAUGGUUCAAAAGUGAAAGACGGUCUUGCUGUCACUAAUAGAUGGAUCCACGCUGCAUUAGCUAGUUGGUAAGGUAACGGCAUACCAAGGCAACGAUGAAUAGCCGACCUGAGAGGGAGCGCGGCGACACUGGACCGUAAAAAUGGUCGACACUACUAAGAGAGGCACAAGUCGCAAAUCCUUACGAGUGGGCGCAGUGCUGACGGAUCAACGCCGGGGGAGUGACUAAGGCCUUCGGAUCGUAAAACUUUGUUAUUAGGGAAGAACAAAUGUUUAAUUGACUGUGAAGAUCAUGACGGUACUUAAUCAGAAAGGUACGGCUAACUACGUG